rnacentral:rRNA from 1 species
GGGCAGUUUGACUGGGGCGGUCGCCUCCCAAAAGGUAACGGAGGCGCUCAAAGGUUCUCUCAGUACGGUCGGAAAUCGUACGUAGAGUGUAAAGGCAAAAGAGAGCUUGAUUGCAAGACAUACAGGUCGAGCAAGGAUGAAAAUCGGACUUAGUGAUCCGGUGGUUCUGCGUGGAAGGGCCAUCGCUCAACGGAUAAAAGCUACCCUGGGGAUAACAGGCUUAUCUCCCCCAAGAGUCCACAUCGACGGGGAGGUUUGGCACCUCGAUGUCGGCUCAUCACAUCCUGGGGCUGUAGUAGGUCCCAAGGGUUGGGCUGUUCGCCCAUUAAAGUGGUACGCGAGCUGGGUUCAGAACGUCGUGAGACAGUUCGGUCCCUAUCCGUCGCAGGCGUAGGAAAUUUGAGAAGACCUGUCCUUAGUACGAGAGGACCGGGAUGGACGUACCUCUGGUGUACCAGUUGUUCUGCCAAGGGCAUGGCUGGGUAGCUAUGUACGGAAUGGAUAAGCGCUGAAAGCAUCUAAGCGCGAAGCCAACUUCAAGAUAAGAUUUCCCACCGCAAGGGUAAGACUCCAGAAAGACUAUCUGGUUGAUAGGUCGAAGGUGUAAGUGCAGCAAUGUAUUUAGCUUAUCGAUACUAAUAGGUCGAGGACUUGACCAA